UCGAAUUUUUAAAUUAUUUUAUUUUAUUUUCUUAUUCUUUUGUCUUUUCUUUGUUGAUAGCUAAAUUUUAACUAAGUAUUUAGGAUUAAAUCACAAAGAAAACUAGGCCCUAACAAAAAUGAUUUUUGCAUCAAUUAGGUCUUAAUUUUUCUUUGCAUCCAUUAAGCUUUAUUUCCUUUUUUUCUUCCUUUAUUUUUCAGUUCUUUUCGGAUAAUUUAAUUAAAAAAAAAAAAACAAGGGCAGCCCGGGGGGGCUGGGCUUUCGCGCCCAACUUCUCCUUUUUCCUUCUUCUUCCCCACGCGGGCCCAAGGCCCACUACCCCCUUUUCCUUGGCCCGGCCCCCUCCUCUUUGUCUUCUUCCUCCUUUGUCUCUGCCACAUGCGCAGAGGAGGCCGGACGCAUGCGAUGCCGGAUGGAGGAGGAGACGGCGACGCACGUGGAGCGGCGCAGACGGAGGGGACGCGUCUUUAAUGCGGUAAAGGAGGCAGCCUAGCUAGAGCCACCUUGACAAGUGGGACGCCGGUUCGGCUGGGGGAGGCCGCUCGAAGCACCAAGGACCAGCGGUCCAAGCACCUCCGUCGACCGGCCUCCUCGCCUAUAAAUAGGUCGUCGGGGGAAGGCCAAAAAUGGACAGAGGCAGCGAGCUGAAAGACUUCCCUUGGGAGACUUCAAGGGAGGCCCAAGAGCACGCGAGCUCUGAGAUAGACGGAGAGAGGGAGGCCGGAGGGCGAGCAACACCGAGAGGGAGGGGAGAAAGCAAGCCAGAGAGGAGAAGAGGAAGGCCAGAUCUGAGGUUGGUAGGAGAGAAAUCCGAGGGAGAAGAGCAGAUCUAGAGGGCGGAGGGUGAGAUCUAAGAGGAAGAUUUCUCUCUCCGCCGAAUCGCGAAAACCCUCGCCCCCGCGAGACCUCCGCCGCGUCGUUGCCGCCCGACACCGUCUACUUCAGCGUCGCCCCCAACGUCGUCCUCGACGACCAGCUGCGAGCCCCGCCGUGCUGGGCUCACUGCUGCUCACCUCGCCACCACGGCUUCCGAUCUCCUCAUGCCGUCCCUGUACCGACCCAAUCGCCGUAGCUCGUCGUCGCCGCCGGGCAUGCCCAUAGCCGAGUCCGAGGAACCAGGCUUCCCGAGCUGCUUGGGGUGCCGCUGCGACCAAGUCCCAUGCCAGUCACCGCCGCUUGUUGCAGCCGUCUCCCUCGGGUGUCGCGGAAGAGAGAGACGAAGGAGCGAUUUAGGUCGACGACUGGGAAUCUGGUCGGGCAUGUGGGUCUCAGCCGGGUAGGGUAGCAUGUGGGCUUUGCAAGAUCAUGGGCUUAGAGCUUUUUCAAAAAAGAGUGAGGCCUUGUUUGGGCCCGUGCUGUAGGCCCAUCUGGGACAUUGGUGGACG
rnacentral:lncRNA from 1 species